rnacentral:rRNA from 1 species
AAUCAACGCUGGCGGCGUGCCUAACACAUGCAAGUCGAGCGAGAAAGUGUAGCAAUACAUGAGUACAGCGGCGCACGGGUGAGUAACACGUGGGUAAUCUGCCCUUGAGUGGGGAAUAACACCGGGAAACCGGUGCUAAUACCGCAUACGAUCACGAUGUCUGCGGAUGGUGUGAUGAAAGGAGCAAUUCGCUCUUGGAGGAGCCCGCGGCUGAUUAGCUAGUUGGUAAGGUAACGGCUUACCAAGGCAACGAUCAGUAGCCGGUCUGAGAGGACGGUCGACCACACUGGAACUGAGACACGGUCCAGACUCCUACGGGAGGCAGCAGUGGGGAAUUUUUCGCAAUGGGGGCAACCCUGACGAAGCAACGCCGCGUGGGUGAUGAAGUCUCUUGGGACGUAAAACCCUUUCGACGGGGAAGAAACCGCAAGGUUGACGGUACCCGUAGAAGAAGCCCCGGCUAACUCCGUGCCAGCCGCCGCGGUAAAAC